rnacentral:RNase_P_RNA from 1 species
GUAAGCAGCUAAUCGAUGCAUGUAAAUGUAUAGGAAAGUCCAUGCUUGCAUAGACUGUGAUGUCUAUAGUGUCUUUACUGGAUAAUAAUUAAUAAAACCAGGUAUUAGUAAACUCUAAUAACGACCACGAAUGUUCUAAGGUUAUAAGAGAUUAUAACUAUGAACACUAGUGAUAAAGUGCAACAGAAACGAGUUAAUAAGAAAUUAUUAAAUGAAACGGGUAAACUCUAAAGGCAAGAAACCCAAAAUAAAGGUAGGGGAACGAGUUGGGUAGAAACGAAUAUAACCAACUCGCAGGAAACUGAGAUAAAUGAUUAGCAUCUAGCAAUAGAUACAGAACAUGGCUUAUCGCU